UACGGGGGGGGCGAGCGUUGUUCGGAAUCACUGGGCGUAAAGGGCGCGUAGGCGGCCCGCACAAGUCUGCGGUGAAAACCCCCGGCUUAACCGGGGGCCGGCCGUGGAAACUGUCGGGCUGGAGGCUGGGAGAGGGCAGCGGAAUUCCCGGUGUAGCGGUGAAAUGCGUAGAGAUCGGGAGGAACACCGGCGGCGAAGGCGGCUGCCUGGACCAGUCCUGACGCUGAGGCGCGAAAGCCAGGGGAGCGAACGGG
rnacentral:rRNA from 1 species